GUCAGUGUAAACUGAGGAAUUUGUUUCUACGGUGACCAUCAACCUAAAGAAGACAUGCUGUACCAAGGAAUGAGUGAGGACAUAGUUAGAAUUGUAAACAUGGCCACAGAUUGGAUAUGGGAGUCAAAUGCGAAGAGGAGGUCAUAUUCACUCCAAGGACUGCAGACCAGUGGGAGUAGCAGGGUCUGGGAGAGACAGCAGCUGUGGUAUAAGGAGGUGCCCUGGCCACUGGAGAGAGAUUUCUGGAGUCAUCUAGGAGUUUUGCUGAGAACCAAAAGCCCUGGGGAAGAAGAGGUGAGAAGAAGCAAAAAUGAAGCUCCAGCAAGUAGUCUUAAAAGGCUACAGACAUGGAACACUGGUUUUGCUUAUUUAUCUCCAUACAGCAGCUGGUCCUGUCUUAGGCUGGUGGUCUUUCAUGCCACACAGUCAUGCAUAUUUUCACUGUGAAUGUUCAAUAAAUAUUUAAGAAAUAAUAACUGAUCA
ensembl:lncRNA